AGGCCCUCAGCCGGGGUGUUUGCAAACCGAGGCAAACAAGAAUCCAUUUAUUACAUUUUCUGAACUUGUUGUGUUGGCAGUAGACACAGGGGGCCGUGUUCUCUGUGUGUCCCCCAGUUCCUCAUCUUACAAGGACACCGGUCAUACUGGGUCAGGACCCACCUGCUCCAACACGACCAAGAAUUAUCACUAAUUACUUCUGCAAGCAUCCUAUUUCCAAAUACCAGCACAUUCCGUGGUCCUGGGGGUUCAGACGGGACCAAGUCUUUAUUCGGAGAAGGGACACUGACCUCUAACACACGCCCAGAGCAGCCGCCCAUCCUCCUUUGGUUCUGUUUCUUGGGCCAUGGACUGUGCUCACCAGGACGGGAGGACAGGGCGAGGCAGCGAAGACUGCGUCCUGGGGAUUGGCCUCGUCGCUGUGUUCAGGCUUAUAGUGGGAGCCACGGCAGCACCAGGAGCUAGGUGCAGGGGUUUCUUCUAGAAGAACUGGCAGUAUUUUCCGGGAACAGAUCUAGCUUCUGGCCCAGCUGAGCUGGGAGCUGAGCUGGGAGAGCUCCUGGCUGGGAGGAGUCCUGGCCCACCCCAACCCCCCCGCCCCCAGGUGAUGGGGACCUGGCUUCGGGGCUUCCCGCUCCGCCUGCCAGGAGCUGCCGGGAGCGCCAGUUCGGCUGCAGCUCAGAAAUGUGGUGACAGUACCAAUGCCAUCAGAUGCCAGCGCAGGCUGUUGGGGGGCUGGAAGGACUUGUCAAAUGUCACAGCGCCGCAUCCUGGGAAGCCGGUGUGCCCGGGAGAGAGAGGCCUGCAUGUGCCCCGUCACCAAAACAGAAAGCUUUAAGACAGCUGCUCAUUCCUGACGGGUGUGUUUGUGAAAUACUUGCUGCUGUCUGUCUACCUAAGUCGUAUACUAGCCACGCUUUGCCUUUAUUUGUUUAUUUAUUUUUUAAUCAAUCUGGCUAAGUUUUCAUGCUUUUACUGUGCGGCACGGUGACGUCUUCAGAGCUGAGGGCUCCCGGGGGGGAUGACGCGGUCUCUAGCGGCCCGGGCCACCACCCGCCUUAAGUCAGGCUUCCUUCUGCUGCGCCGUCGCGUCGUCCUCACUGUCAGUUAGCACUGCUGUGACACCAGCCUCUCUCCUGCUGCCCCUCACAUCCGCUCUCCGAUCUGCCUCGGCAGGGACAGGGCAGGCGGCUGAGUCACGCUGUGCCCACGCCCGGAUGUCCUUAGCCGAGGAUAGUGAAUCGCCCUGUACCUGAACCUUGGGGA